rnacentral:rRNA from 1 species
AGUGAACGCUGGCGGUAGGCCUAACACAUGCAAGUCGAACGGCAGCACAGUAAGAGCUUGCUCUUACGGGUGGCGAGUGGCGGACGGGUGAGGAAUACAUCGGAAUCUACUUUUUCGUGGGGGAUAACGUAGGGAAACUUACGCUAACACCGCAUACGACCUACGGGUGAAAGCAGGAGAUCUUCGGACCUUGCCCGAUUGAUUGAGCCGAUGUCGGAGUAGCUAGUUGGCGAGGUAACGGCCCACCAAGGCAACGAUGCGUAGCUGAUCAGAGAGGAUGGUCGGCCACACUGGAACUGAGACACGGUCCAGACUCCGACGGGAGGCAGCAGUAGGGAAUCUUACGCAAUGGGCGAAAGCCUGACGGAGCAACGCCGCGUGAGUGAUGAAGGUCUUCGGAUCGUAAAACUCUGUUAUUAGGGAAGAACAUAUGUGUAAGUAACUGUGCACAUCUUGACGGUACCUAAUCAGAAAGCCACGGCUAACUACGUG